CCGGGCCUGGCUGCUGGGGACAGUUUGGGCCUUCACUUAAGAUGAACCUGCUGCUGAUUUUCCUGUUCAUGCUGGUGGCCCCUUUAGGUGUCCUCUCCCAAGUGCAGCUGAAGGAAACGGGCCCGGGAGCGGUGAAACCCGGGGAGUCCCUGACACUCACUUGUACCAUCUCCGGAGACUCGGUUUCUAGCACCAGCGCCACCUGGGCCUGGUUCCGGCAGCCCGCGGGGAAAGAGCCAGAACUGGUGGCACGCAUAUUGUAUAGAUCUAAUAGUUGGCACACUGACUAUGCCAGCUAUCUGCAGAGCCGAGUGACCAUCUCUGCAGACACCGCCAAGAACCAGUUCUCGCUGCAGCUCCGCUCGCUGACAGCUGCGGACACCGCCACCUAUUACUGUGCCAGAGACACACAGUGA